rnacentral:rRNA from 1 species
CCUACGGGGCGCAGCAGUAGGGAAUCUUCCACAAUGGACGAAAGUCUGAUGGAGCAACGCCGCGUGAGUGAAGAAGGGUUUCGGCUCGUAAAGCUCUGUUGGUAGUGAAGAAAGAUAGAGGUAGUAACUGGCCUUUAUUUGACGGUAAUUACUUAGAAAGUCACGGCUAACUACGUGCCAGCAGCCGCGGUAAUACGUAGGUGGCAAGCGUUGUCCGGAUUUACUGGGUGUAAAGGGCGUGUAGCCGGGCUGACAAGUCAGAUGUGAAAUCCGGGGGCUCAACCCCCGAACUGCAUUUGAAAAUU